rnacentral:siRNA from 1 species
CUGUAAUUGGUCGCUGAAUCCAGC